rnacentral:rRNA from 1 species
ACCUUACCAAGGCUUGACAUAUAGGGAAAAGUGGCAGAGACGUCAUGUCCGCAAGGGCUCUAUACAGGUGGUGCAUGCUUGUCGUCAGCUCGUGUCGUGAGAUGUUGGGUUAAGUCCCGCAACGAGCGCGACCCUCGUUCUGUGUUGCCAGCAUUUAGUUGGGGACUCACAGGAGACUGCCGGGGUUAACUCGGAGGAAGGUGGGGAUGACGUCAAAUCAUCAUGCCCCUUAUGUCUUGGGCUGCACGCAUGCUACAAUGGCCGGUACAGAGGGCUGCAAUACCGUAAGGUGGAGCGAAUCCCAAAAAGCCGGUCUCAGUUCGGAUUGAGGUCUGCAACUCGACCUCAUGAAGUUGGAGUUGCUAGUAAUCGUAGAUCAGCAUCGCUACGGUGAAUACGUUCCCGGGGCUUGUACACACCGCCCGUCACGUCACGAAAGUCGGUAACACCCAAAAGUCAGUGGCCCAA